UGCGUAUAUUAGAUCCUGAAAGCAACGAACGUGACCGCAACCUCUUGUUGCCUUUAACUAGGUUUUGCUUACGUAUAGCUUCGGCUUUACGCUUUGCAUCUAAAAAGGCUGAUUUUCUAAACUAGAGGGACCGCUGUUACUUUCUUAAACCAGAGGAAGGUUGCGGCAAUAACAGGUCUGUGAUGCCCUUUAGAUGUUCCGGGCCGCACACGUGCUACAAUGAUUAUUGCAGUGAGCAUCUCAUAUAUUGAUUUUAUUCACACACCGCUUGCGCGUGGCUUAUGCACUUUUACACUUCGGUGUAUUCGCGUAUUCGCUUUCUGCGCGCGGUACAGCCUGCUUCGACAGUCUAGUGGGUAAUCAAUUAGAAGUAAUGAUUUCCAUAUAGCGCACACUAUAUACGCACAUCUUAUGUCCUUGAUGAACUUGUUUCAACAUGUGUACGUAUAGAUGUUUUUUGCGUAUGUGCACAAUUGUCAAUUCAUGGUGGGGACAGACCAUUGUUAAUUGUUGGUCUCGGUCUUAACUAGGAAUGCCUUGUACGGGUCUUUGGUUCAACAAACCACCCGGAAUACGUCCCUGCCCUUUGUACACACCGCCCGUCGCUCUUACCGAUGGACUUCUCUGUGAGUUUGAGGGACUGGAGUCCAAUAUUACGUUUACGCGUAUUAUUAACUUCUCUAUGGAAACUUAAACGAACAGUGUGGUCUAAAGGAAAGAGAAGUCGAACAAGGCAUCCGUAGGUGAACCU
rnacentral:rRNA from 1 species